rnacentral:rRNA from 1 species
GACGAACGCUGGCGGCGUGCUUAACACAUGCAAGUCGAACGGAAAGGCCCUGCUUUUGUGGGGUGCUCGAGUGGCGAACGGGUGAGUAACCCGUGAGUAACCUGCCCUUGACUUUGGGAUAACUUCAGGCAACUGGGGCUAAUCCCGGCUAGGAGCUCCUGCUGCAUGGUGGGGGUUGGAAAGUUUCGGCGGUUGGGAAUGGACUCGCGGCUUAUCAGCUUGUUGGUGGGGUAGUGGCUUACCAAGGCUUGGACGGGUAGCCGGCCUGAGAGGGUGACCGGCCACAUUGGGACUGAGAUACGGCCCAGACUCCUACGGGAGGCAGCAGUGGGGAAUAGUGCACAAUGGGCGGAAGCCUGAUGCAGCAACGCCGCGUGGGGGAUGACGGCCUGCGGGUUGUAAACCGCUGUCGCCUGUGACGAAGCGUGAGUGACGGUAAUGGGUAAAGAAGCUCCGGCUAACUACGUG